ACAUCAUACUUCUUUUGAGACUUUGCUCUUACUUUGACAACUAUAGAACUUUCCAAGGUGGAGAAGCUGGGCCUCUACAACCCAUUCACUCUCUCCGGCAACAUCAUGGUUAACAACGUGGAGGCUUCCUCUCACAGCGAGUGGUUCCUGGACUCCCUCUUUGAUGCCAUUGGCGCAACUGAGUACCUCCCAUAUGCAUACCAGGCCGUGCUCGCUCCACUUCGUGCCAUCUACAACAUCGUCGGGAAGGAAAUCUAUGGAAAGGGUUAUGCUGCCGUCAAUUCUUGUGUCAACGUUGCUGAAUUUGGAAUGAAGCACGGAGGAAGCAUCGCUCUUGCUGUUGGAAUCGCUGGAGUUGCAACAGCAAUGCUGACGAAGGCUUGAUGAAAAACCAGAAGUAGAAUAAAUAACAUCUUUUAUGCUUUGAUUAUUCCCCUUCUUUAUUUAUAUCCAACUCUAUUCUGAAUGGUUUAUUAUUUGUUUAGUGGAUAUACCUAAAAUAUACUUGGAUAUUUUAGAAUUUUUUACCAUCAAAUGGUUAUUAUUCCUUUAGAAUAAUCUAGUGUUUAUAAUUUAUGAUUAUAGCAUAUUCUAGCUUAUUUAGCUUUUAUACCAUUAGGUUAAACUUAUUUUUAUUAAAAACAUGAUGGUAUGUGGUUAUGCUCCAACUACUCUGUUUAGGAAAAACAUUUUCUUGUAAUACAUAAAUCAUAAUAAUUUGCUAUAAUACAAACUAAGCAAACAUGCAAUAUGGUCACAGUUUAUUAUUAUUUAUCAACCAAGGCUUGAUGAACCAUAAGUAAAAUAAAAUCUAAAUUUCACAAAAUGGAAAAAAAAAAAAGAAAACUGUAUUCCAUUAUUUUGAUUAUUCCCCUUCUUUGUUUAUAUCUAACUCCCGAUUUUAUAUUCUAAAUGGUUCAUUUCUGGUUUUCUUAAGCAAACAUCUUGGUAGUAAAUAUACUUAGAAUAUAGUUGAAUAUUCUAUAAUAGUUUACAGUUUAAAAGUUAAUAUUUAUUUAUAAUAAUAUCGUCAUUAAAUUUAAACAUGAUUAUAAAUUAUAAAAUUUUCCUAAACACCUUCUAGGUCUAACUUUUAUGCCAUUAUAUUAAUCUUGUGUUUAUUAAAAAUAUUCUUAAACACAACAAUUUGUUAUUUGUUCUAAAACCACUUUUAUAAUGCUUUUGUAUUAUUAAUAUUAGUAUAUUUAAAUAUAAAUAUAAGUUGGCCUUUACAUAAGUAUAUUUUAAAUAAUUAAUUUAAUAUAUUUUAAAUAAUAUAUUAAAUUAAGUGAUUAGUUUCAAAAUUUGCAAGAUUAGUUCCAUGAAUAUAAUGAAAAAUAAAAUAAAAUAAAUAUAGUAUUGUGAGGUACAGCUAUAGAUGUGAGGUCCAAAUGUAUAGCUAUAAAUACAAGGUCUAGAUAUAUGGCUAUAAUAUUAUAUAUUAAUAUUAUUAUAGUAUGGUUUUAAUAGCCAUCAUAUUAAUUUCAAUUUGGACCACUUGGUUUUUUAUAUAAACUAAAGUUUUUAGGCUAAUUGGAUAUACAUGUUUUUAUAUUCCAUACACUCAUAUUAAUGGAGUUGAAGGGUAAUCUUGAUUGUCCUUAAGGAGUGCUUAAAUUUAUAUUUUUGGUUUAGAUCAUUGAUUUAAUCAUUUUACAAUGAUUCCCAAUUAUCAUUCUUGAGAUGAUAACUACUGUUUAUGUGAGUUCCCCACAUAUCUUCAAAAGAAAGUAUUAUAAUGGUACAAUGGUUUGAGUAUAACUUCUCAUGUGAAUUAAAGCCUCCUCUCAAACAUCUUUAAGCAUUCAUUUAGAAAUGCUAACAAUUAUGACAACACCUUUCAAAGUCAAUUAUGCAAUUUAGUGUUUGUGUCCAAAGCCUCUUACUUUAUGCAGAGCUUAUAUAAACAAAAAUCAGAAAUGUUUUCAGUAAUGCUUGAUUUGUUUAAUAGUAGUGCUUAUUAUUUAUUAAUCAUACUGAUCAAUAGAAAUUUUAUAAUUAUAAACAUGUUUAUCAUUUCUAAACAUGAGAUUAAACUUAUUACACAUUAACCAUUAAAUGUUCUAAAGGUAAAUGAUAGAAUAUCUUAGAAUAUCUAAGCAUAUUUUACCAAACCUAAAUGGACAUGUGUCAAAUAUCUGUAUUAUCUCACUCGAGCAAAUGAUAAGCCAAGUUGUGCCAACUUUCUAUUAGCCAAACAAACAUCCACACAAGUUUUACUGAAACCAUGCAAAUUGAACCUACCCAAGGCCUAUAAUGGUUGUGAGCCUUCAGCCAUUAUUACUUUAUUGUUGUAAAUAGAAUUGUAACAAAAAGAGUGUAAAGAAUAAAUGACAUUUCUAUGUUGUACUUAUUGAUCUACAUAUAGGAGGAGCUUGAACUAAGACAUGUCUCAUUUUAUAGCUAUUAAAAAUUAAAUAUAAUGCUUAAUUUAAAUGUAUACUAAUCAUUAAAUUAUAAAAUAUAUUAAAAUAUCCAAGAAUAUACUGAUUUUUUAACACCAUAUCACAUUACCAUUCAAAUCUAACAAUUUUGUGGAGAUGUUUUUCAUAUCUCCAAUAACUUUUGAUAGUGCAUAAGCAGCAAAGAAAUAUCUAACUUCCAACCAAUUUUCAGGUUCUGGACAUAUCACAUUUAGAUCAUCACUGAAGUUAAACCCAAUUUUUGCUAUAAAAUGUCGAUUCCUAAACAUAAAUAUUUAGAUACUAAAAUAUAAAAAUAAAAACUCACAACGAAUGAUGAUGAAAAAUUGCCAAAUAAUCAUCCAAUCCAGCCACCCUUGAACCUGUAGAAAACAUUUUAAAAAAUUAUUUAAAAAAAUAUAAAAGUUAUUUACUGACCUAACUCAGAAUACUUAAGGCUCAUCCCAAGCGCUAUAGGUCUUAUUUGUUGAAGUUCAAAUUCAGUAGUUUUAAGAAUCCUAGCUGUUUGUAAAGCUUCCAGCACUUCCUAAACAUAAUAAAAGAAUAAAAUUAAAAAAUUCAAGUGAUAUAAUAUAAUACCAUGAUAGGAAUGUUGUACAUUGAUUUCCUACUUUGGAUGAACGUAGACAGUUUAGUCCCAGGGUCCUUUCCUAAAUGCUGCUCUGAAAGUACAAAAACAUUUUAGAUUAAAAGCUAAAAAUAUUUUCUUGCCGAGAAAGAUCCUAAACAUCGCCUGUGUUGCCCAUCUCAUCACGUUGUUAGCUACAAUUUGGGUUUUCACAACGCAUCAUUGCAAGGCCGCCACACUUGGUUUUUGAGCACGGAAUGUAUUUUGCAUAUGGAAUUAAACGUCACGAGUAAUAAGGAAGAAUGAUUUACUUGCGACUUGAGCAACAUCAUCUCUGUUAUUCCCUCUGAAUGCAUUAUGUCACAUACGGCCGCGUCCUUGGCCACCCUGCCCUGGACACCAAGCUUGUCCCAAAGACGAUUGUCAAAGACUGCCUUGGCAGGGACAAGCUUGGUGCCAGCCACACACGGCAGCACGUCGCGUAGAGCAUCUUCGGCGAAAAAGAGGCCCAUCUUUCUAUUGAUGCCAAUACCGCGGAGAUCCACCACGACGCACUUUCUGAUCCCGAUCGCGUCCACAGCGUUCAGCUCCUUGACAGGAUCCUCUCCACGGUCAUGAGACGCCUGGACGAACUUCCUGGCCGACAGUGUCAUGGGGAAGUCGUCGUAGUUGACGACCCAGUCCAGAGAGCCAUACUGCAAUGCCUUGGUGGGAACCGCGAGAAGGAUGUAGCCAGUGGAGACCCGAUUCUGCCAGAUGGAUUCUUUAUAGACGAGGACUUGUUUAGCAUCAAGCUCUUCUAAAGUUCCAUCGAUCACGAAUUCCGCUGGAGGACCCCGACACCGCAGGCCGAGCUCGAUCGUGGAAAUGCAGCCCACGGCUUCGAUGCUCCUGAUCUGGCAUGGCUCCAGCGGCGUCAUUGAAGGCUCCAUUUCGUUGUCGUAUAAGUAGGCUGGAAUGCUCCAAGGCGCUCCCCAGUAAAGGGCAUUUGCAUGUGUACGACGCUGCUUGGGGCAGAUGUUUCCAUGAGCGUAGCUCAGGUGAUCAAGCAACGUCGUGUCGGGGCAGCCGCAUGCAGUCAACUGCCGGUUGUAGCAGAUAUCGCAGAAGAGGAACAAGGAGGUGGUGGUGUUAUCAUAGACGAGCUUGAGAGGAGGAGCAGGAGCACGAGGCCGAGCUCGAGCCCGAGCUAGAGUUUCCGCGAGCGUGCUGCAUCCGCAGGCAACUCCUGCGUCCACAAGCUAAAUGUUAGCUUGGCUCUUGCGCUCUUCUACUCACUCAGCUCCAAAAAGCCGCCGCCAGAACAUGCCGCCCAACCAGGAGCAAGAGUUUAUCCGCGAGUGUGCUGGGCAGAUCCACCGCGCUCACACCACCCUAGACACUUUUAGGGCAAGGUUCUUAGAAUAUUCCUUGAAACUCCAUAACUCGCAUUAUUUUGCUUAAUGAACAUUUAAUUUCUUUCGUGAGAGCUUUCUUGUCAAUGAAUAAUUCUUGCUAUCAAAGUUUUAGGAUCAACUUGAUCAGUUAGCCUUAUGUCAUAGGCACUCAGUUUCUAGGAUUUAACAUCGCUUCUAGAGCUUCUUUUCCUAUCUUUCUAGGCUUUCAUAGUGUAGAGUUCUCUAUGGCUCACACUUUUUUCUUUGCUACUUCUCUCUUCGCUGUUCUUGCUAGCGUUGUUCUAGCGACCAACACCUCAUGUUUCCCAGGUAAGAAUCUGCAAGCGAUUUUACAGCCAAUCACAGGCUUUAUGUUUGCAAAGGCGAUGCCACCGUCCAAAUGUAUAACGGCGACCUCAAACUCAUGAGAGAUCUCGAAGUUGGAGACAAGGUAUUGUAUUGCUCUUAAGUUUCUCGAAAGCCCAUCUAAACGUUCCAGAUCUACAGGUUGCAGUGAGCAAAAACGUGUUCUCCGAUGUCUAUGCAUUCGGCCACAAGGACGCUGAUGUGAGCUCCGAGUUCAUCCAGGUCCACACCGCCUCAGACAUGAUCGAGCUUAGCAAGGGCCACUUCAUCCCAGUCGACGCCAAGGGAAAGCUUGUGUACAAGGGAGCCAAGGAUCUCCAGGUUGGAGAAACUCUCUGGGGAUCAUCUGAAAUCACUGGUAGCAUCAUACUUCUUUUGAGACAUUGCUCUUACUUUGACAACUAUAGAACUUUCCAAGGUGGAGAAGCUGGGCCUCUACAACCCAUUCACUCUCUCCGGCAACAUCAUGGUUAACAACGUGGACACAGCGAGUGGUUCCUGGACUCUCUCUUUGAUGCCAUUGGCGCAACUGAGUACCUCCCAUAUGCAUACCAGGCCGUGCUCGCUCCACUUCGC
rnacentral:lncRNA from 1 species